UUGGUAACGGCGAGUGAAGAGGGAAGAGCCCAGCACCGAAGCCUGCGGCAGUUUUGCUGUUAGGCAAUGUGGUGUGCGSGUUGGCUAGCGGGACCGUCACUCCACUCGAAGUCCAGCAUUGAGUAUGGUUAUCACUGGAUUUGGCCCAUAGAGGGUGAGAGGCCCGUACGGGUGGAGGUUCAGAUAUGUGCGACGGUUCACCAGGCCGACCUCAGAGUCGGGUUGUUUGAGAUUGCAGCCCAAAGUGGGUGGUAAACUCCAUCCAAGGCUAAAUACUGGCACGAGUCCGAUAGCGAACAAGUACCGUGAGGGAAAGUUGAAAAGUACUCUGAAGAGAGAGUAAACAGUACGUGAAGCCGCAUGCAGGUAAACGGGUGGCGUCAAGCUGCGAGCCCGGAGGAUUCAGCUGGCUGGGAUGUAGUGUACGCGCGCCCAGUGCGUCGAGAGGCCGGAAUAAGAUGUGGCGGUCCACUCCUAUGCUGGGGGUGGAGUACUAUCGGUUUGCGCCGAUGGUAACUAUGCAUGCCGGAUGGGUGCCGGAGCAUGCCGUUCAUCUGUUGGGUCGCCUAGUCAGUGCAUUUUCUCCGUGGUGAACACCACGACCGGUGGAGUUGCCAGUCUGCUGUCAUUAAGUCGUAUCUUCCUGGUGCCCCUUGCCGCCGUCCGUCUCUUUCGGACGGUAGUGUGAGUGUGUGUGCUGGGUGGGCACGAUCGCAGAUGGAGUCGGUGGACGGCGCAGUGAUGCCUCGGUAUCACCGCGUGUUAUCGUGCACUCUCUAUCGUAAACGAUAAGUGGGAUGGGGGCUGCGGUUCUGUAACAACCUCCUCACUAAUCGGCGGGUGGCAGUGGUGAAAGUGACUGUGCAGAGCAUCGGAGUUGUCCACCUCAUUGAGCAGUUCCCUCUGCUCAAAUGGUACCCGGCACGCACGUUGCAGGUGCUAUUGAAUCGGGGCAAGCCGCUGUCUGCCUAGUAUUCAGCCUGACUGUCGUGUUGCUCGCUUAAAAGGGUGAGUCCGGCAGUGGCUGUUGAUGCUUGGCAUUGGCAUCUUUCUAGCUUACCUCGGGUGUGUGUGGUACCGGGGGUGAAAUAGUCAGUGGUGCUGUGGUAGACGAGCUACCCGACCCGUCUUGAAACACGGACCAAGGAGUUUAACAUGUGUGCGAGUCAAAGGGUCCUACGAAACCCCGAGGCGCAGUGAAAGUGAAGUUCAUACGGGCUGCUGCUGCUGCUGGUUUUACCAAUAGUAGUAGUAGUAGUGUGACGAGGUGAGAUCUCCUUGUACUCAUGACACAUGCCGCCACAGCAAAGUGACCUUAUUGGGCAUUAAACGGGGCAAGGAGCGCAUCACCGGCCCGUCGCAUGUUGUAGCCGUGGGUGCACUUGUGUGUGGGUGGGUGCUGCAUCAUCAUCCUGUGAUGUUGCUGCUGCAUCAGAA
rnacentral:rRNA from 1 species